ACUCCUACGGGAGGCAGCAGUGGGGAAUAUUGGACAAUGGGGGAAACCCUGAUCCAGCCAUGCCGCGUGUGUGAAGAAGGCCUUCGGUUGUAAAGCACUUCAGUGGGGAGGAAAGGUUGAUGGUUAAUACCUAUCAGCUGUGACGUUACCCACAGAAGAAGCACCGGCUAACUCCGUGCCAGCAGCCGCGGUAAUACGGAGGGUGCAAGCGUUAAUCGGAAUUACUGGGCGUAAAGCGUGCGCAGGCGGUCUGUUAAGCGAGAUGUGAAAGACCCCGGGCCGUCAACCUGGGAACUGCAUUUCGUAACUGGCAGACUAGAGUCUGUAGAGGGGUUAGGAAUUCCAGGUGUAGCGGUGAAAUGCGUAGAGAUCUGGAGGAAUACCGGUGGCGAAGGCGGCCCCUCGGACAAAGACUGACGCUCAGGCACGAAAGCGUGGGAGGCAAACAGGAUUAGAUACCCUGGUAGGUCAGUC
rnacentral:rRNA from 1 species